GGAUCGGGAGGCUGCCACUCGGGACGGUGGCCAUGAAUUGAUCCGAUCGCGUUGUCUCGAAUGGCCAAGCUGCCGGGGCCCGGCGGCAGACUUG
rfam:Tropicibacter litoreus R37 strain CECT 7639 genome assembly, contig: 0001